rnacentral:lncRNA from 1 species
UUCCAUUGACAGUGAAGAUCCUGGUUACUCCUGUAUUGCCACCCCCCGCCCGGUGUGUACGGGAUGGAAGAGGAGACCCACACUGCCGUGGCAUGCAGAGGGCUGCCAAUGCACACAUUUCCUGUGUUCCUCUGAGUGUCACAGUGAGCCCUUGCGGGGGACACUCCCACACUGGGAGAGCAGCCAGGGCCCUGUGUACCCC